rnacentral:rRNA from 1 species
GUCGUAACAAGGUUUCCGUAGGUGAACCUGCGGAGGGAUCAUUAA